rnacentral:misc_RNA from 1 species
GAUGAAGAACGUAGCGAAAUGCGAUACUUGGUGUGAAUUGCAGAAUCCCGUGAACCAUCGAGUCUUUGAACGCAAGUUGCGCCCGAAGCCACUAGGCCGAGGGCACGCCUGCCUGGGCGUCACACGCCGUUGCCCCCCCAUCUACUCCUUCGGGAUUGCGGGGGGGCGGAUGAUGGCCUCCUGUGCGCCUAGCCGCGCGGUUGGCAUAAAUACCAAGUCCUCGGCGACGCACGCCACGACAAUCGGUGGUUGCGAAACCUCGGUUGCCCGUCGUGUGCGUUCGUCGCGCAUCGAGGGCUCGAAAAAAUGCUCGGCUCCGGCUGGGCUUUCAACGCGACCCCAGGUCAGGCGGGGUUACCCGCUGAAUUUAAGCAUAUCAAUAAGCGGAGG